rnacentral:lncRNA from 1 species
CUCAUGCAACCUUUUAUUUCUCACAUUCAGCAGCUGUUCGGUGAUCGAAAUCGUGUUUAUGAACCUCUCAGUUCAAACCCAGAGAACAAAUGUCUCACCACUGAAAUCAAAAGGAACGAGGAGACAAACGGCCCAAGGUCUAAGAGCUCUGGCCACCAGGGGGCGCUUCAGUGUUUCUGCUCUAAACUGGACCCUGAAGCAGAGUGACACAGGUGUUCAUGAUGAGCAGGUGGGAUGGCGGUGAUGAGGGCGGGGCGCUCCCAGGGUAAAAAUGCCUUUAUUACUUUAGUUUAACAGUGUCACGGUCUGAGGUGUGUUCCUGCUGUCACUCCCUGUCUCUGAGUUCUCCCUCUGCAGGUGGGCGUGUCUGGAGGUUGACCAAGCUGCAGCAGAUCAGCCGCCAGGUGUAUUUAAGCAGCUGAGAGACUUCUACACGUCGCUGGAUGAUUACUCUACCUGGGUACCUUCUAAGCCACCUCUUCGUAUUAUAGUCGAGCUCUUUGGACCUUUUGAGAUUUUAGAUGUGUUUUGGAUUUUGCAUUUACCCUUCCUGCUCUCGUUCACCUGGAUCAAACCUCCACCUUCAUCUCCGACUGGCUGAACUCUGGAACUCCAACCUGCUUGUCUCUCAGCCGCUCCCUGGCCAGAACCACCUCCAGCUGCCCACCUAAGCUCCCUGGAUCUUCACAAACUCGGCUCCCUCCACGUCUCACCUUUUGGAUCUCAGUCCCAGGAAAACCCUCUCAGCCCAGACCCGACCACUCCUCCCUCGAGCUAGUUCCCUCCUCUCCAGACCAUUUCCCGCACCGGCUCCCUUGUGAAAGAACUCAGCUAUGUUCAGCUGCUUCCUUGGUUUCCCUUUUAAUAAAUUCUUAUUUAAACACUUUACCCUGUCUCUAUGCUGAUUCUGUAUGUCGUGGGUUAGAUUUCUACAAAUCAUGACAAAUGGCUUUCUUCAUGUUUCCUGAGGUUAUUUCGGUGACUGUAUUUCCUUAAGUGCCAACAUUACAUUACGCUGCUCUAUAUUUUUAUUUUAUAUAACAUAGUUUUGUUUUAUAACAUGUAUCAUCUUAGAUGAACUGCUGAAGAUGGGCAUCGGCCCCCGCGUGGAUGAGCGUGUAUAGACAUUAGAUAUUGUGAUUUAUGAACAAGAGCAAUUAUUAUGCUCAUACUGACCCGAUGUUUUUAAAAUCACAGAUUAUGAAAUUAGAAGAUUAUUUUAUUAUAAAAUAAUGCAAUUUAUGUUUGGAGUAAAAUUAACAGCUCUGCCAAAAAAUAUACUAAUGUUCUUUGUAAAGAGGGAAAGUAAAUAUGAUUUAAGAGGUGUAUGUUUGUUCUACAAAAAGCCAAAAAGGGCAUGAAAAGGAGAUGUAUCUCUGUAAUGGGAGUAAAAUUUUGGAAUGAGGCUAAAAUAGAAUUAAAAUUAGCAACUUCUCUUUCAGUUCUUAAAAAACUUAUCAGUAAAAACAUUUUUGAAGAGUAUUAAUUUGAUGUUGAUGGAUGGAUUUGUGUUUUACUUUUAUUUGGGUUGUUGGUUCAUUGCGG